UUAAUAAAUUUCCUAACGUAUUCUUGAAGACUUCUUAGCCUGCCCCUAGAGUGUGAAAUCAAAUUUUGUAUUGACCCCAGUACAAAACCCAUUUCUUCAACCCUCAAAUAUUUCAUCAACCAAAACAAACGUAUAAUGCGCCAAAGACGUUGGCUCGAGCUGUUGAAGAUUACGAUUAUACCAUUCAAUAUCAUCGUGGAUGAGUGAACGUGGUAGCUGACGCGUUGAGUAGAAGAUCGUAUGCGUUUACAAGUGCGAUGUUGUUAACACAAAG
rnacentral:lncRNA from 1 species